GCAAUGAGAUCGCAUAUACCAACGCGAUCGCAUCUUAAGUCAAGAUCACAACUCUGAAACCAACUUAAAUGAUCCAACAAACGUAUCUGGCAACGAAUUUAUGCUCCAGUCUCAAUCACAACAAAGUCAGAAUCACGUGUAUGAAGAACCGAGAUGGGAACCUGAAAAUCAUUCCAAUGUUGUGAAAAUCAGCUUUGAACCUCGUCCUCCCGGGUAUGAGGAACCUAUUAUUGUAACCUUUGACAAGUCUCCGCAGAACCAGAGUGUUGAUCAAUGCGAAAAUUCUUCUGUCCGUGGUUCAAUGAUUAAUGAAGAUAAUGGUGAACAGUAUACAUCUUUGAUAUUACUUCCAGGCUGUAGAAAUGACUUAGAAAAUAAUGAUUACAACCACUGCUAAAGAAUUGUAAUGUAACAAAUGGUGAGAGUGUUCAUCAAUACCAAAAUUCUUUUGUCAGUGAUUUGAUGAUUAAUGAAGAGAAAGGUGAGCAAUAUAAAUGUUUGAUAAAACUUCCAGGAAGUGAAAAUGAUACAGAAAAUGACGGUUAUCAACCAUUGCUGAAGAAUGAUAAUGUAACAAAUGGUAAACGUGUUGAUGAAUAUCGAAAUUCUUCUGUCAGAAAUUCAAAAAUAAAGGCGAGAAAUAUUUGACAAUUAUUG